AGUAUUGUAUAAAGUGAUUCACAAUUAAAUUUGAGUUGAGAAUUUCAAAACCCAGCUUGAGAUAAAACAACAACAAAUGCCUAUCAUCUUAAAGGCAAAAUCAAGAAUCACUGUGGUUCACUCCAUAAACUUACUGUUCCUGCAAUAUGCGAGGCAGAGUUCUGGUCCCAGAGUAUAAAGAGGAGAGGUGGAUAGAUUUGAUGUAGACCCAAUCUACCAGGAAAGACAAAUGGAUAUAAAUAAUUAGAAUACACUGUGUUGGGGCCACUCCGGUGGCCGAGUGGUUAAGUUUGCGCAGUCCACUUCAUAGCCCAGGGUUUCGCUGGUUCGGAUCCUGGGCAUGGACAUGGCACCGCUCAUCAGGCUGUGCUGAGGCAGCAUCCCACAUAGCACAACCAGAGGCACUCGCAACUGGAAUAUACAACUUUGUACUGGCAGGCUUUGGGGAGAAGAAGAAGAAAAAGAAAAUAGAAGAUUGGCAACAGAUGUUAGCUCAGUCUAGAAUUAGAUACACCACUUAGAGAUACUUGCACUGAGCAGACCUAAUUGAUACUUGACUUCAUCAUCUUGGGGCCCAAGUGCAGCAGACCAGAUAAGAAAUGUGAGGCUCGGAGAGAUUGUGUGAAUUUAUUUAAAUCACAGAAUGAGUUAAGUGAGAGUAUGGAUUCAAACACUGGCAAUGUCAGCUAUUUAAGUCAGCAAGAUGGCCGAAGAGGAAGUCCCAGUCCUGCUUCCCCAACCGAAACACUGACUUAACAACGAUAUAUGAACCGAAAUACCUUUAUGAGAAGUCCAGAAUCCAGUUAAGAAGUUUCAGUACCCCA
rnacentral:lncRNA from 1 species